AUUGAACGCUGGCGGCAUGCUUUACACAUGCAAGUCGGACGGCAGCAUAAAAGAGCUUGCUCUUUUGAUGGCGAGUGGCGAACGGGUGAGUAAUGCAUCGGAACGUACCGAGUAGUGGGGGAUAACUGUCCGAAAGGAUGGCUAAUACCGCAUAUUCUCUGAGGAGGAAAGCAGGGGACCUUAGGGCCUUGCGCUAUUUGAGCGGCCGAUGUCUGAUUAGCUAGUUGGUGGGGUAAGAGCCCACCAAGGCGACGAUCAGUAGCGGGUCUGAGAGGAUGAUCCGCCACACUGGGACUGAGACACGGCCCAGACUCCUACGGGAGGCAGCAGUGGGGAAUUUUGGACAAUGGGCGCAAGCCUGAUCCAGCCAUGCCGCGUGUAUGAAGAAGGCCUUCGGGUUGUAAAGUACUUUUGUCAGGGAAGAAAAGCCUGAGGAUAACACCCUUAGGUCAUGACGGUACCUGAAGAAUAAGCACCGGCUAACUACGUGCCAGCAGCCGCGGUAAUACGUAGGGUGCGAGCGUUAAUCGGAAUUACUGGGCGUAAAGCGAGCGCAGACGGUUAUUUAAGCAAGAUGUGAAAGCCCCGGGCUCAACCUGGGAACUGCGUUUUGAACUGGGUAACUAGAGUGUGUCAGAGGGGGGUAGAAUUCCACGUGUAGCAGUGAAAUGCGUAGAGAUGUGGAGGAAUACCGAUGGCGAAGGCAGCCCCCUGGGAUAACACUGACGUUCAUGCUCGAAAGCGUGGGUAGCANACAGG
rnacentral:rRNA from 1 species